rnacentral:miRNA from 1 species
UAAGGCAGCCAGGAAAUGCAGA